rnacentral:rRNA from 1 species
ACGGAGAGUUUAUUUCGGUAAGCUCUUAGUGGCGAACGGGUGAGUAACACGUGGGCAACCUGCCUCGUGGUUGGGGACAACAUUCCGAAAGGAGUGCUAAUACCGAAUACGCUCCAUUACCGGCAUCGGUUUUGGAGGAAAGAUGGCCUCUAUUUAUAAGCUAUCACCAUGAGAUGGGCCUGCGUCUGAUUAGCUAGUUGGUGAGGUAACGGCCCACCAAGGCGAUGAUCAGUAGCCGGUCUGAGAGGAUGAACGGCCACAUUGGGACUGAGACACGGCCCAAACUCCUACGGGAGGCAGCAGUGGGGAAUCUUCCGCAAUGGGCGAAAGCCUGACGGAGCAACGCCGCGUGAGUGAUGAAGGCCUUCGGGCUGUAAAACUCUGUUGUCAGGGACGAAGGUGCAUCUUUCGAACAGAUGGGUGUAUUGACGGUACCUGACGAGGAAGCCACGGCUAACUACGUGCCAGCAGCCGCGGUAAUACGUAGGUGGCAAGCGUUGUCCGGAAUUAUUGGGCGUAAAGAGCAUGUAGGCGGGCUUUUAAGUCCGGCGUGAAAAUGCGGGGCUCAACCCCGUAUGGCGUUGGAAACUGGAAGUCUUGAGUGCAGGAGAGGAAAGGGGAAUUCCCAGUGUAGCGGUGAAAUGCGUAGAUAUUGGGAGGAACACCAGUGGCGAAGGCGCCUUUCUGGACUGUGUCUGACGCUCAGAUGCGAAAGCCAGGGUAGCAAACGGGAUUAGAUACCCCGGUAGUCCUGGCCGUA